GGAAGUACAGCUCAGUGGUAGAGUGUGUGCCUACCAUGCACGAGGUCCUGAGUUCAAUUUCUAGUACCUCCA
rnacentral:tRNA from 1 species